UACGGAGGGUGCAAGCGUUAUCCGGAUUCACUGGGUUUAAAGGGUGCGUAGGAGGGCGGAUAAGUCAGUGGUGAAAUCUUCGAGCUUAACUCGGAAACUGCCGUUGAUACUAUUUGUCUUGAAUAUCGUGGAGGUGAGCGGAAUAUGUCAUGUAGUGGUGAAAUGCUUAGAUAUGACAUAGAACACCAAUUGCGAAGGCAGCUCGCUACACGAAUAUUGACUCUGAGGCACGAAAGCGUGGGGAUCAAACAGG
rnacentral:rRNA from 1 species